AGCCCAAAAACUGGAGACACUCCAGAGUCUCUGGAAAAACUACACAAGAAACUGAUUGACCCCUGUGUGGGUAACACAUUCCUGCCUUUUUCUGUCACUUUUUGAGAUAUUUAAAAGAUCUGAAAAGAAGACGGACAUUGUGCACCCAGAGUACAGAAGACUUACGUCUGAGCUGCCACAGCGGAAACAAUUGUCUUUAAUUAUUAUAAAAGCUUUUGAUUACUUCAUCCUCAGCUUAAGAACACAAUCAAUCAAUUUGAGACUUACAGGAACUCAGAGCUGUGUGAGGAAAAUACACCUUUUCAUCUGGAAGUUGAGUAGAACUCAAUUUACAACAAAACCAGAAACAUUGAAGAUGUCUGCUCGUCGUUUUGACUAACCUAAAGGAAUGAACGAUGAGGAAAAGAAAAUAUUCAAACGCGAAACUCUGAUGGAAAAAACCCAGAGAUUCUCUAUGAAGACACAUAUCAAACUGGUAUAAGAUGCAACCUCAUUUUCUUCACCCACUCUGGAGAAGCUUACCUUAAAUCCAAGGAUAUUCAAAUGGACAACAAACUGAAACUUGAAACGAACUGAAGCUCUCUGAUGGAGGCACUGUGUCCAUAUUUAUCAGUGGAAAGAUUUUGAUUCAAGGUAAAGAAGAAAUCCUUGAUGCAUUUGAGAAAAUGUUUAACAAAAUUCAACAAGAUGUAGACACAAGAAAAGAAGAACAGAUGAUGAAAACAUUACAGCAAAUGAAAGUUGAAGAAUCUGAUUCUGAAACAGAAGAACGAGACAAACAGAAACAGUCUAAAUAAAAUGUGAUACAACAAGAAAAAACAGGAAACAAUAUGGGCAUUUGAACUAUUAGAGUGUUUGAAGAAGUGGCUCUUCCUUCACUCAGGAGACCCAAACAAACAAAAGAGCACACACCCACUUCAUCCUGAGCUUGAGAACACAAUCAAUCCAUUUUAGACUUACAGGAACUCGGAGUCUGAACCAACUAGUGCAGGAGCUGUGUAAGGAAAGUACAUCUUUCGCCUGGAAGUUGAGUACAUCUCGAUUUACAACAGAACAAGAAACAUUGAAGAUGCCUGUUCGUCGUUUUCAUAGUGAACCUUUGGACAACCCAGAGGUUCUCUAUGAAGACAGAAAACAAACUGGUAAAAGAUGCAACCUCAUUUUCUUCACCCACUCUCGAGCACACUACAGGGCUGCAAUAGAAGAAGCUUACCCUACAUCCAGGGCUAUUCGAAUGGACAACAAACUCAAACUUGAGCUCUCUGAUGGAGGUACUGUGUCUAUAUUUGACAGUGGAAAGAUUGUGAUUCAAGGUAGAGAAGAAAUCCUUUAUGCAUUUGAGAACAGGUUUGACACAAUUAAACAAAGUGCAAAUAGGAGAAGAUAAGAACAGGUGUGGAAAACAUUGGCGCAAUUGAAAGUUAAAGAACCUGAUUCUGAAACAGAAGAUCAGGACAAACAGAAACAGUCUAAGUAAAAUCAAAUAAGCAGGGAAAGACAGAGCCUCAGUUUUCUGUUAUUGAAGUACAUUAGAUGGGGAGAAAUCAUUAUGGGUAUUUGAACUCUUAAUAAGUGAUUAUAAAAGGUUUUUUCUUGUGUUUAAAAAUUACUGGAUAUUUAUUCUGAUUUGCAAUACUUCUUUCUGUUAUUCAUUACAUACAUAUGUUUUAGACUGGUGUCAGGAAAAGAAAAUAUAUUAUGAUUACUGUAGCAGCAGCUGGUAAUAAAUCAGUCCUCAUCAAGGAACAGUGCUCUUUAAUGAAUGCAGCACGUAACUUCACAUCGUAGAGGUAACAGGGUGACACAUCAAGCUAUCAGUUAACCAUCUUAAACAUAUUCUAACUUUACAUUUUCCCGACUGCACUUUACUGUCUUAUUUUCUUAUUACUCUCUUAUUACUCUCAUAUUGCACCACCCUAUAGUGGUGCAAUAUGGUAUAAUCAUUACAGGACACAACAAUUGCAAACAUAAAAUUACAUUUAUGGUGUUUUGAUUCUAGCAGGACUGCAGCACACUUUCUUUCAGAACAUCAGUUUUUCACAGUUAUUGAGAUUUAGAGUCUUUAGCCACUCAAAUUAAGAUAAUGUCACACCACCAGCAUUCAACAGUCCUGCAAGAGGAAACAUUAUAUAGUCAUAUAUCUGUCUGUUUUGAAAAAUCUUCAUUUCUGUGUGUGUAACCAUGGAGAUAUAAGGUCCUCUGUACUGAAAGAAAUCAUUAAAAUUUGAUUAUUCAUGACUUUAACACUAAGAAAUUAUUUUGUGAAAUUACUUGAUAAGCACUCAGUAAUAGAAAAAGUCUCUGAAUGCAUGUAUGUGUGACUGGGUGAUUGAAUCUUGCAGCAUGAAAGUGUUUUGAAUGCUCAACUGACUAAAAAGGUGCUAUAUAAGUACCAACCUGAGUGGCAUGGUCCGGGUGAAGUCCGGUGUUUUUUCUAUGCCCACCCUGUGUUCCUCUCAUAUCCGCCCUGGGGCAGAGCCCUCAUCAUGCCACCUGCUCAGUUCACCUAUUCUUGAUCCCGAAACAAUCAGAAGACAUAUUUUAGGUAAGCAUCAUCUUCUCUCCUUUGUCAUUUCAUCAGCUAACCUCACGUUGAUAACAGUUCUCCUUGUUUCAUGCUCCUUGUUAAAAUCUCAUGACUUUCCCCUGUGCUUGAAUCGGCUUUUGGGUCGUAGUUCUCACAUUAGCCUCCGGGCUCCUGUGACACUGAGUGUUCAGAAACAUCAUCACACAUAUCAUUUAAUGGUUUUUCUUCAUUUUCACAACUAUUUACAUUGUAUAUUCUCACUGAAGGCAUACGAGUGAACACAUUGAAUUAUGUAGUAAACAAAAAAGUGUGAAAUAAUUCAAAACAUGUUUUAUAUUUUAGAUUCUUCGAAAUUGCCACCCUUUGCUUUGAUUACUGUUUUGCACACUCGUGGCAUUCUCUCAAUGAACUUAAUGAGGUAGUCACGUGAAAUGGUUUUCCAACAGUCUUCCCAGAGAGGAGUUCCCAGAGAUGCCGAGUACUUGUUGGUCCUUUGGCUUCACCUUGUUUUCCAUCUCAUCCCAAACCAUCUCGACUGGGUUUAGGUCAGGUGAUUGUGGAGGCCAGGCUAUCUGGCGUAGCACUCCAUCACUUUCCUUCUUGGUCAAAUAGCUCUUACGCAGCCUUGAGGUGUGUUUGGAGUCAUUGUCCUGUUGAAAAAUAAAUGAUGGUCCAACAAAAUGCAAACUGGAUGGCAUGUUGCUGCAAGAUGCUGUGGUAGCCAUGCUUGUUCAGUGCGUCUUCAAUUUUGAAUAAAUCCCCAACAGUGUCACCAGCCAAGCACCAACACACCAUAACACCUCCUCCUCCAUGCUUCACAGUGUGAACUACGCAUGUAGAGACCAUUUGUUCAUCUUUCCUGCAUUGCACAAAGACACGGCAGGUGGGACCAAAGACCUCAAAUUUGUCUUAUCAAACCAAAGAUUUCCACUGAUCUAAUGUCCAUUCAUUGUGUUUCUUAGUAGAAAAACAUCUCUCCUGCUUUUUACUUGUCCUUAGUAGUGGUUUCUUAGUAGCUAUUUGACCAUACAAGCUGAUUCGCGCAGUUCAAAGUUUUUGCAAUUUUCCAGACUGACUGACCUUCAGUUUUUAAAGUAAUAAUGGACUCUGGUUCUUGCCAUUUGAAUUUUAACAGUUAUCAGCUGUGUACCAACCUGACUUCUGCACAACACAACUAAUGGUACCAAUCCCAUUAGGAAGGCAAGAAAUUCCACAACUGAACCCUGACAAGGCACACCUGUGAAGUGAAAACCAUUUCAGGCGACUACAUCACGAAGCACACUGAGAGAAUGCCAAAGGGUUUGCAGCACUGUCAACAAAGCAAACGGUGGCUACAUAAUUCCAUACGUCUUGCUUCAUAUAUUUGAUGGCUUCAGUAUGAAUCCACAAUGUAGAAAGUAGUAAUAAAUAAAAAGACAUUAGAUGAGAAGGUCCAAACUUUUGACUGGUAGUGUAUGUAUAAAAGUAGCUUCAUGUAGGCUGUAACUAAAUUAACAACAUUCAAGUUUAAUUUAUAUAAUAUGAUGACUCUAGGAACUUUUUUUUACAAUCAAGAACAGGGACUUCAGGGAGUAAUUAUAACAGGGAUGGACAUAUACUAUUUAUUUAUUUGUUGUUAUUAACCCAAUAGGGUGGAUGUGGAGCAAGUUGUCAUGUAACUGAGAGAUUGGUGAUUCAAUCUUUGGGCAAGAUACUGAAGGCUUAGUUCCUCCCAACAGAUCCGAUGGAAUGUCUAUGAAUUAUUUAAAAAAAAAAAAAAAAAAAAAAAAAAAAAAAA